CCUACGGGAUGCAGCAGUGAGGAAUAUUGGUCAAUGGGCGCGAGCCUGAACCAGCCACGUAGCGUGAAGGAUGACUGCCCUACGGGUUGUAAACUUCUUUUAUAAAGGAAUAAAGUGAGGCACGUGUGCCUUUUUGUAUGUAGUUUAUGAAUAAGGAUCGGCUAACUACGUACCCGCAGCCGCGGUAAUACUGAGGAUCCGAGCUUUAUCCGGAUUUAUUGGGGUGAAAGGGAGCGUAGAUGGGUUGUUAAGUCAGUUGUGAAAGUUUGCGGCUCAACCGUAAAAUUGCAAAUGAUACUGGCAGCCGUGAGUACAGUUGAGGUAGGCGGAAUUCGUGGUGUAGCGGUGAAAUGCUUAGAUAUCACGAAGAACUCCGAUUGCGAAGGCAGCUUACUAAACUGCCACUGACAUUGAUGCUCGAAAGUGUGGGUAUCAAACAGGAUUAGAUACCCUUGUAGUC
rnacentral:rRNA from 1 species